UCCGGGGAUGUUACUGUGAACAAAACAGCGCGUCCAAAGCAGGCAACUUGUGGCCUGAAUGAUCGAGCAUGGGACGACAAGGGAUCGACCUUUGUGGUCGUUCUUUUUGCCAGUUAUUAAGACCGCAAAGGGCAAUGCAGGGCGGAUACUCCUGCGGUGAAGGUAUUGUCUUGCCUUCGGGCUGGCAGUCCUCUGCCGUGCGGAAUCCGUCACUAUCGGGAUCAAUAGGAACCAACGGGGAGGUACGUAUUGAGGCGUUAGCGGUGAAAUGCUCAGACCGCCUCAAGACGAACUUCAGCGAAAGCAUUCCUCAAGAAUGUUCUCAUUAAUCAAGAACGUGAGUGUGGGGAUCGAAGAUGAUUAGAUACCGUCGUAGUCCACUACUGUAAACGAUGCCGAUUCGGAAUCAGAGGUGGCUCUCCAUCUCUCGACCGUUUUGGCACCUCCCCUUUCUACCGAGAAAUCCAAAUUUAUGGGUUCAGGGGGGAGUACAGCAGCAAGGCUGAAACUUAAAGGAAUUGACGGAAUGACACCACAAGGCGUGGAGUAUGCGGCUUAAUUUGACUCAACACGGGGAAUCUCACCAGGUCAGGACACUUUGAGGAUUGACAGAUCGAGAGCUCUUUCUUGAUCAAGUGGAUGGUGGUGCAUGGCCGUUCCUGGUUGGUGGAUUGAUCUGUCUGCUUAAUUGCGAUAACGAACGAGAUCUGCACCUCUAAAUAGGUGGUGGCUGCGUAUUUGUACGGUCGGUGCGUUGCGGCUUGUCUGCUCGCUCUGGCCGGAGCAAGCCACAGACUUCUUAGAGGGACUGUGCAUGUUCUCAGUGCACGGAAGAUGCAGCCAAUAGCAGGUCUGUGAUGCUCCUAGAUGUUCUGGGCUGCACGCGCACUACACUGGUGGCUAAAACGAGCACCCCUUUUAUGGGUCCUGAUCAGAAAUGAUCGGGAAAUCUUUGGAACAGCCACCGUGACUGGGAUAGAUGAUUGCAAUUAUUCGCCCUGAACGAGGAAUGCCUAGUACAGGCAGUUCAUCAGACUGCCUGGAUUACGUCCCUGUCAUUUGUACACACCGCCCGUCGUUGCUACCGAUGGUAGUUGAAUAGAGGCGUUGGGAGGGCGCCGUGUGGGGCAACCCGCACAUGUGCCCAAACCUCACCGAUAUUUGACUACUAGAGGAAGCAAAAGUCGUAACAAGGUUGCUGUAGGUGAACCUGCAGCAGGAUCAUU
rnacentral:rRNA from 1 species